rnacentral:tRNA from 1 species
UAAGAGUUAGUUUAAGAAGAAUUGUUGACUGUUAAUCAAAAGGUAAACUCUUAA